rnacentral:rRNA from 1 species
GACGAACGCUGGCGGCGUGCUUAACACAUGCAAGUCGAACGGAGAAGCUCCAGCUUGCUCGCGUGGAUCAGUGGCAAACGGGUGAGUAACACGUGAGCAUCCUGCCCCUGGCUCGGGAACAAGCGCUGGCAACGGCGUCUAAUACUUAAUUCCUGAAGGGUCAGCAUGGGCAUCUUCGGGAAAGUUGCUCGGUUGGGGAUCGGCUCGCGGUCUAUCAGCUUGUUGGUGAGGGAACGGCCCACCAAGGCGACGACGGGUAGCCGGCCUGAGAGGGCGACCGGCCACACUAGGACUGAGAGACGGCGCAGACGCGAACGGGAGGCAACGGUGGAGAGUAUUGUACAGUGGGCGCGAGCCUGAUGCGGCGGCGCCGGGUGAGGGAAGAAGGCCUUCGGGUUGUGAAGCUCUUUCAGCAGAGAAGAAGCGAAAGUGACGGUACCUGCAGAAGAAGCACCGGCUAACUACGUG